ensembl:lncRNA
CACGUGGGCAGGGUUUCCUGCAAGAUAGUGUUUAAGCAAUUAAUUUAUAGCCAAACUUAGUGAUGAAGAUAUUAUGUACAUAAGUGAUGUUAUUAGUUCAUGGGAUAAGACCAAAUUGAUUUAAAAAUGGGGUAAACUGCAGGCUUGGUAAACUAUUGAGCUGUUAUUGUGGCCACAUGACAACUCUAUACAUGUUAUCUGCCUUGUAAAUUUGCACGCACUUUUUAGUUUUCAGUGCGUAAGGGGAGAGGUAUUAGAAUUAAAUUAGGAAAAUUAAAUUUAUGGGGUUUUGGUCACCCUAUUUAUGGGAGGUUUUGGGAUGAAAUUUUGCAUAAUGCUAUGUGUGUAGCAUCUAUAAUAAGGAAUAAAGGAGUGGAGAUCAAAUCUCGGGGAAUGUUAUGGGGUGUGGGUACAGGUUAUACCCACUGAUAUGUUUCUUUAAUCUUUUUUAUGGCUCAGGAAUGAAGGAUAACUUGGUACCUGAGCUCAGCGGGAAAUAUGUAAGUGAAUGCCAGGGAUUUGGCCGCUGAAUCUUUUUGUUUUAUUUGGAAUGUGUUAUACUGAAAGGUAUAAGUGUAUAGAUAUGACAAGGGAAAUAUAGAUAUAAUAUUAAUGGAUGGGUUUUAUAUGAUGGGUUAAGGUAUGUCUGAGGACAGGACUGAAGCCGAGGGAUGGUAAGUGUCAUGAGCUGUGGGAGAGAUAAUGUAGCUGAAUGGAUGGUAGUUUAUUUAAGGAGCUAAAGUUAGGGGAAAUAGAGAAUCUUAAUGGGGAAAAUGAAAAUGGUCUAUAAUUAUAUGUAAAGUAACUAUGUAAACUACUGAAUUUUUACUGUAAACUACUGAAAAUACUGUGAAUUUUUUACUGUAAACUACUGAAGUCUACAUGAGGCAGGAGCGCUGCACGGAGCAGUCAUGCGCUGGGACACAGGAGUGAACUGGAGGAGUGUGAGAGAAUGGAUGAACUGAAGGUGGGUCAGCUGCAUACAAUCAUGGGUGUGAUUGGAGACGAAAUGCAGCUGGAAGUGUGAAUGUCAUGGAAGGAAAAGGUGUGUGAGUGUGCUGAAGGAGAGUGUUCUGAAACCUUCAGCAAAACUUAAAGGUAAGUAUAUGUUAUAUGUGGGAAUCUUUGUUUUAAUCAAGCAUUUGGGGAAUUAUUUUAGUAUAACAUUAAGACAUAUGUGGGAAAUUAUGGAAUGCAAUCUCUGGAUAUCGUACUACACACUUUGGAAGUAUGCCUAGGAAAUAUGUGAAAAUUAUGUUUGUUUUUUAAUCUUUGGAAUUAUAUAUACACAGGUGGAAGCUUAUGGACUGGUCCAGUCGGGAGACUGGUGAUGGGUUAAGGUUCUUAAAACAAGAGUCUCCAGCCAAUAGGGCUGAGAGGUGAAGGGGUUAAGUGUGUUGUAUCGUGUUAACUGUUUUGCAGGACCACUAGGCGGUGGGACUACCACAAUUCGAGGGAGCUGAGUUGGAGUGGGGACCAUUCAGAUGUAGCAGCUCGACCUGGGUGAAGGGCUGCCAAGGUCAUGGACAUGCUGCGGUGGAUGGAUGUGUCUACCCUUGGGGAAAAGAAACUGAUGGAGCUCAACAUGGUCAGAGGAGGCUUUCCGGCGGAUUCAGAUGAAAGAUCUCAUCAGUGGAACUUACAAGAAGAUGUUUGUUGUGGGACGGCCACAACAAUUCUACAACAAUUCUACAACAGCAUGCAGAACAUUCAUACAUAUUAAGACUGUACCACUUGCAUAACAUUGCAUACAUAACUGGAUGUGUAUUGUUUAUAUUUAUAGUGUUUGUUUUAAUGUUUGGUUUUCUGUAUGUUUGUUUGUAUUGUAUUUUUGUAUGUUUCUUUAUAUUUUACACAACACUGCGUUCAGAAACUGAUGGAAAAGAGGAUGUGCAUGGUUGCCUUUCACAGCCUGCGGAAUGCAGGUGUCGCUGUACAGGACAGGGCAAUGGGUCCAGUUUUUACCUUAAAAUAAGAAGGUUUUUGUUCUCAUCUGUGGGGAUAGGGGCAUGGCAUCUCAGGAGU